rnacentral:rRNA from 1 species
UACGUAGGGUGCGAGCGUUAACCGGAAUUACUGGGCGUAAAGCGUGCGCAGGCGGUCCGCAAAGUCUGAUGUGAAAGCCCCGGGCUCAACCUGGGAACUGCAUUGGAAACUAACGGGCUCGAGUGUGGCAGAGGGGGGUGGAAUUCCACGUGUAGCAGUGAAAUGCGUAGAGAUGUGGAGGAACACCGAUGGCGAAGGCAGCCCCCUGGGCUAACACUGACGCUCAGGCACGAAAGCGUGGGGAGCAAACAGG